AUGCCCUUUAUUUAUAUUAACAUAUUAGCAUAUACCAUAGCACUGCUGGGAAUAUUAAUCUAUCGAUCCCACUUAAUAUCAUCGUUAUUAUGCUUAGAAGGCAUAAUAUUAUCAAUAUUUAUCAUAAGUACUCUUGUAACUUUAAAUAUACAUUUUAUUCUAGCAUCCAUAAUGCCCAUUAUCCUCCUAGAAUUUGCUGCCUGCAAAGCUGCUGUGGGCCUUGCCUUACUAGUUUCAAUCUCCAACACAUACGGCCUAGAUUAUGUACAAAAUUUAAAUUUACUCUAAUGC
rnacentral:lncRNA from 1 species